AUUGAACGCUGGCGGCAGGCCUAACACAUGCAAGUCGAACGAGUGGCGGACGGGUGAGUAAUGUCUGGGAAACUGCCUGAUGGAGGGGGAUAACUACUGAAAACGGUAGCUCAUACCGCAUACCAUCAGAUGUUCCCAGAUGGGGUUCGCUUGUUGGUGGGGUAACGGCGCCCCAAGGCGACGAUCCCUAGCUGGUCUGAGAGGAUGACCAGCCACACUGGAACUGAGACACGGUCCAGAAUCCUACGGGAGGCAGCAGUGGGGAAUAUUGCACAAUGGGCGCAAGCCUGAUGCAGACAUGCCGCGUGUAUGAAGAAGGCCUUCGGGUUGUAAAGUACUUUCAGCGGGUAUGCGUUACCCGCAGAAGAAGCACCGGCUAACUCCGUGCCAGCAGCCGCGGUAAUUC
rnacentral:rRNA from 1 species